rnacentral:rRNA from 1 species
CCUACGGGAGGCAGCAGUAGGGAAUAUUGCUCAAUGGGGGAAACCCUGAAGCAGCAACGCCGCGUGGAGGAUGAAGGUUUUCGGAUUGUAAACUCCUUUUGUUAGAGAAGAUAAUGACGGUAUCUUACGAAUAAGCACCUGCUCACUCCGCGCCAGCAGCCGCGGUAAUACGGAGGGUGCACGCGUUACCCGGAAUCACUGGGGGUAAAGAGCGCGUAGGCGGGAUAGCAAGUCAGAUGUGAAAUCCUAUGGCUUAACCAUAGAACUGCAUUUGAAACUGUUAUUCUCGAGUAUGGGAGAGGUAGGUGGAAUUCUUGGUGUAGUGGUAAAAUCCGUAGAGAUCAAGAGGAAUACUCAUUGCGAAGGCGACCUGCUGGAACAUAACUGACGCUGAUGCGCGAAAGCGUGGGGAGCAAACAGGAGUAGAUACCCCUGUAGUC